rnacentral:rRNA from 1 species
AGCGAACGUUAGCGGCGGGCCUAACACAUGCAAGUCGAGCGAGAAAGUGGCUUCGGCCAUCAGUAAAGCGGCGGACGGGUGAGUAACACGUAGGUAAUCUUCCCUUGAGCGGGGGACAACGUUUCGAAAGGAACGCUAAUACCGCAUAAGUUUCCGAGGCCUCCGGGUUUUGGAAGGAAAGCUAGGUCGCAAGAUCCGGCACUCGAGGAGGAGCCUGCGUCGCAUCAGCUAGUUGGUGGGGUAANGGCCUACCAAGGCGAAGACGCGUAGCUGGUCUGAGAGGAUGAUCAGCCACACUGGGACUGAGACACGGCCCAGACUCCUACGGGAGGCAGCAGUGGGGAAUAUUGGACAAUGGGCGCAAGCCUGAUCCAGCCACGCCGCGUGAGUGAUGAAGGCCU